rnacentral:rRNA from 1 species
AAAUGAAUUGACGGGGGCCCGCACAAGCAGCGGAGCAUGUGGUUUAAUUCGAAGCAACGCGAAAAACCUUACCAAGACUUGACAUCGUAUGACCACUAUGGAAACAUAGAAUCUCUUCGGAGCAUAUAGACAGGUGGUGCAUGGUUGUCGUCAGCUCGUGUCGUGAGAUGUUGGGUUAAGUCCCGCAACGAGCGCAACCCUCAUAAUUAGUUGCCAAUAUUAAGUUAGGAACUCUGAUUAGACUGCCGUGGAUAACACGGAGGAAGGUGGGGAUGACGUCAAAUCAUCAUGCCCCUUACGUCUUGGGCUACACACGUGCUACAAUGGCUAUUACAAAGAGCAGCAAAGCCGCAAGGACAAGCGAAUCUCAAAAAAAUAGUCUCAGUUCGGAUUGUGGGCUGCAACUCGCCCACAUGAAGAAGGAGUUGCUAGUAAUCCCGAAUCAGAACGUCGGGGUGAAUGCGUUCCCGGGCCUUGUACACACCGCCCGU